rnacentral:tRNA from 1 species
CAUUGAAUGGCUGAAAAUAAAUAAGCAAUGGUCUCUUAAACCAAUAUAUAGUAAAAAUUACUUUCAAUGA